rnacentral:snRNA from 2 species
GUGCUCGUUUCGACAGCAUAUAUACUAAAAUUGGAACGAUACAGAGAAGAUUAGCAUGGUCCCUGAGCAAGGAUGACACGCAAGUCCAUGAAGUGUUCCAUAUUUUU